AACGAACGCUGGCGGCAUGCCUAACACAUGCAAGUCGAACGAGACCUUCGGGUCUAGUGGCGCACGGGUGCGUAACGCGUGGGAACCUGCCCUUAGGUUCGGAAUAACUCCCCGAAAGGGGUGCUAAUACCGGAUAAUGUCUUCGGACCAAAGAUUUAUCGCCUUUGGAUGGGCCCGCGUUGGAUUAGCUAGUUGGUAGGGUAAAAGCCUACCAAGGCGACGAUCCAUAGCUGGUCUGAGAGGAUGAUCAGCCACACUGGGACUGAGACACGGCCCAGACUCUACGGGAGGCAGCAGUGGGGAAUAUUGGACAAUGGGCGAAAGCCUGAUCCAGCAAUGCCGCGUGAGUGAUGAAGGCCUUAGGGUUGUAAAGCUCUUUUACCCGGGAUGAUAAUGACAGUACCGGGAGAAUAAGCUCCGGCUAACUCCGUG
rnacentral:rRNA from 1 species